rnacentral:rRNA from 1 species
CGGCGGACGGGUGAGUAAUGCCUAGGAAUCUGCCUGGUAGUGGGGGACAACGUUUCGAAAGGAACGCUAAUACCGCAUACGUCCUACGGAGAAAGCAGGGGACCUUCGGGCCUUGCGCUAUCAGAUGAGCCUAGGUCGGAUUAGCUAGUUGGUGAGGUAAUGGCUCACCAAGGCGACGAUCCGUAACUGGUCUGAGAGGAUGAUCAGUCACACUGGAACUGAGACACGGUCCAGACUCCUACGGGAGGCAGCAGA